GCCAGUAUGGCUUCGUGGUUGAGUGUCUACCCAUGAACCAGGAGGUCAUGGUUCAAUUCCAUGUAAGGGCA
rnacentral:tRNA from 1 species